rnacentral:ribozyme from 1 species
UUGAAAAUAGCUUCAACGGCAAGGCAAGAAAGAGAAAAGAAGAAGAAGGAAACCAAGUAAGCGAAGUAUGUCACUAGGGGAGUACUAUCCUAAACAUAAGGGUGACACACUAACCGUGAGAAGCUUUGUUUUUCUUCUUUUUGUUUAGAACUAUUUUUUUCUUCAAUUUUCUUCUCAUCCUCUUCG